UACUCUUGACAUCCUGCGAAUUUGGUAGAAAUACCUUAGUGCCUUCGGGAACGCAGAGACAGGUGCUGCAUGGCUGUCGUCAGCUCGUGUUGUGAAAUGUUGGGUUAAGUCCCGUAACGAGCGCAACCCUUGUCCUUAUUUGCCAGCGCGUAAUGGCGGGAACUCUAAGGAGACUGCCGGUGACAAACCGGAGGAAGGUUGGGACGACGUCAAGUCAUCAUGGCCCUUACGAGUAGGGCUACACACGUGCUACAAUGGUCGGUACAAAGGGUUGCCAACUCGCGAGAGUGAGCCAAUCCCGAAAAGCCGAUCUCAGUCCGGAUCGGAGUCUGCAACUCGACUCCGUGAAGUCGGAAUCGCUAGUAAUCGUGGAUCAGAAUGCCACGGUGAAUACGUUCCCGGGCCU
rnacentral:rRNA from 1 species